rnacentral:lncRNA from 1 species
CUCAGUUUUCUAAUCUGAAAAAUGAGAAUAUUAACCAUAGACAACUGCCACUCACUGAACACCAGCUGCAGUAGAGCCGAGCAUACACGUAAUCCUCACCGCAACCAUAGGAGCUGGAUCCUGACAUCCCCAUCUCACAGAGGAGGAGACUGAGGUUAAUGACGUGGCAAAUAUCCACAAUGACAGUUUCUGCAAGUCUUUCCUAGUGCAAUCACCCACAACCACAGCCCUAGAAAGAAGGAUGAACACUCUUCCACAGAGGCUGGCACGCACCUUAAGGCAGGUGCCCACUGGAACCCUGUCUGUGGUGUCAAGGAUUUUACAGUUGACCUUGAAGACCACCUAGUCCAAAGCUCUCAUUGUACAAAAAGCCAAGCCCAGAGGUCACACAAAGCUUUGGACCUGAGCCUCUGGGCCCCGCGGUCUGGAAAGUGCUCCUUUCUCUGCAUGCUACGGGGCUAUCAACUUGAGCUGGUCCAGUCUGCAGAUCUACAUCCUGCCCGCCUGAGCAGAGGCGGGUGUGGGACCAGUGCGGAUCUCCACGAUUUGUCAGCCCAUCCUGAUAAGUCUGAGGCUCUGACCAUCAUAUCUCAUCACAGCAUCAUUAGGAUUACAAGUGCCAUGCGGUAGAAGAGGAAGGGAAACACGAACAAAAGGAUGAGAAAUUAAGCCCAUUUCACCCGGAAAAGAUGACUCUGAUUUAUUGCUCUAUAGCAGCUGACGAUGGCCUGUCAGAGAAAUUCUGUGUUGAAAAUAAAGAAUAAAAAUCACCCAGAGUUGUUUUGCCACACAUCCAAAUUAGAAAAUGCUACUCUCCGGAUGAUUUAUGCUUCAAUUUUUUCCCUUAUUCACAGAGAAUUUGUCCAGCAUUACAAGAGCACCUAAGAGCAAUAAUACAAUUCAAAAGGAGAUAGAAGAGGCCGCAGAGGUGUUGAUGUGCGGCUGAGGGCGGGGUGCUGGCCCAAAGGCAGGGCUUUGGUGCUCAGAAGCAUUGACCUUACAGGGAGGAACAAGGAGAAACCAGCCAGGCAGGCCCCGCAGGCAGCCCACAGAGCCACUUCGCCGUGCAGCCGAGGGAGUCCCGCACCACGGGGCCUCGCUCAGGGUAGCCACCAUGGGAGAAUGUCCCCACCUCGUGGAUGUCAGGCUUGGCCACAGGUCCUUGGCCACGGGACCUGAGCAGAGUGACAUAUGCCACACUGGAUCAGAAGCACGCUGGACCACCACGUGGUAUGGCUCCCUUUCUUUCUCCCGUCAUAAGUACAAGAUGUUGGCUGACCUGACUCCUGGGGUAGAAAUGUCAUGUAGACACUGGGCGCGGUGGCUCACGCCUGUAAUCCCAGCACUUUGGAAGGCCGAGGCAGGUGGAUUGCCUGAGCUCAGGAGUUCGAGACCAGCCUGGACAACAUGGUGAAACCCGUCUCUACUAAUUUACAAAAAAAAUUAGCCAGGUGUGUUGGCACAUGCCUGUAGUCCCAGCUACGUGGGAGGCUGAGGCACGAGAAUUGCCUGAACCCCAGAGGUGGAGGUUGCAGUGAGCCGAGAUGGUACCUCUGCACUGCAGCCUGGGCAACAGAAUGAGACUGUGUCUUCAAAAAAAAAAAGCACUGUCAUGCAGGGCAGGGUCCCAAGGCCCCAGCCAACCUCUCGUUGACAUGUAAUGUAAGAAGAUGUCAACUCAUGCUUAUAGUCACUGACAUUUAGGAAUAGUCUGUUACCACAGCAUAAGCUGGUAAAAAAAAAAAAAAAAAUCAUACAGCUCUUCUUCCCGGAACGCCCCUGCACCUCUGCUCCGGUGCACAAAUGCUUUCUCUUCAAGGCAUGGCGCAAAAAAGCCACUACUUCCAGAAGCAUCUCCUCAUUCCCCGCCGGGAGCAACAUCUCUCUUCUCGAGACCCCAGCCCCUCCGCUGUCUACCCAUGGACUUCCUCAGUGUUUGUUUUUUGCAUGAUUCUUUGUGACCAAGCUGUUUCUCCAGCUGCCUUGAGGACAUGCCCUAGGGAACAGUGCUCUGAAUCGUACCUGGAUUCUGUGCCUACCUGCUCCAUCUAAAGCAGAAAACUCCACAACUAAGAUCUCUUCUAACAUUUAAGGAAUAGAGCCUAAUUAGCGCAUGAAUACGUGUUGAACUGUGAAUGAAUCAAUGAGUAUGGAAACUACAUUAUACGCAGUGCUGAUAGAACCAAGUUGCCAAGGGAGAUAUCAUCUCUCCUGCAGGAAGGAAGUCCUGCCUCCCACUGAUCCACUCAGCGCACAGCCUUGAACAAAACAGAGCAAGAGUUAUAACCUUCAGAUGUGGGGGCAGAAUAGGACCCAUUUGGGCAGACACAGGCCACGGAAACCACAGGGCCAGCGUCUUGAGCCCUCGAUCAGACGCCUCCCGCCCACCGCGGCCGCUUCUCCACGCUUUUGCCCAGAUCUCUGCACCGCGUGGCCCGGUCUUGCCUCCCUGAGGACCACACUGGCUGCAACCCAAACUCGACUCUUCUACUUACACUUGCUCAGCAUUUUUGUCAUCCCUGCCCUUGGCCAAUCCCUGUCUUGGUUUCUGCUCUUCCCACACAAAGUUUUGGGAAUCAAUUCAUACAUAUUUGAGAUUAACCAAAGUCCAUGAUCAGUUCUGGACCGCUAUGGAUUCCAGAUCCACCUUACGUAGCCGUGUGAGCUCCGGUAAAUUACAUAACCCAUCAAAUUUCUUUAUCUAUAAAGCAGCAACAAUAAUGUCACGAAGGAUUAAGGUAAAGAUGAGAAAUAGUAUAGCAAAAGCAUCUACUA